AGGGAAAGAAUGAUUAUCACAACAUUAACAAACUUGAAAAUUUUAUCCAUAUUUUCUCCACCUUUUGGAUGUAUUACAUAGAAUUGUACUUUAUCACGUCUUGAUUUAUAAAGCUAUUGUUCUCCUUACAUCAAUUAAUAAAAAGUUUUUAUAGUACUUUCAGAGUUGUGAAAAGACUUCCAUUUUUUGUUUAUAAUUAUUAGCUGUCUCUUAAUUAAGUACAACAAUGUGUUGCCCCUUUAACAACUUUUGUAAAAAGGUCAUGUAAAAUAUACAAAUUUAAAUAAUUCAUAUUUUUUAACAAAUUUUCUUUAGUUUAUAAGCUUUCAUGAUAGAAAACGAAAAAUCACAAAUUAAAAAUAAUAUUGUUUGACAAUAAAGAGGAAAUAGAUUCUGAAACAGGCGCAUUGCACGUGGUAGCAUUCGCAACAUCUGCGACCGCAACCGCAUCCGCGACCGCAACCGCAAUUUAAAACCUUGCACACAACACACAUUCAAAUUUUACUUAGGUUUCAGCAAUAUAUGGAAGUCGCAAUUCAAGCAGCUAGUGUUCAUGGAAGUAAUCAUAUAUCUAUCACGCUUCUAUUAACUCCACCAUAUAUGAAAAUUAAAACAGGUCCCUAAACCAAAGUACUAGCAUUAAACUUCAUCGGAUGUAAACUAAUGCACUCCCUCAUUAAUCACAAAUAAUGAAACAUGUUUAAUUAUAUGCCACAAACUAUCCCUCAAAUAUAAGUAACUCUAAUAACUAACUCUAUAAAAUUAGUUUACAUUAGUUUUAGUGUCUAACAACAAGUAAAAUAUAAAAACAAAUCCAAGCUUAUAAUCUCUCUCUAUUUUCAUUAUUUCUGCGUCGCAAAAUAAAACUGAGAAUUUAGGUGUUGAAACAUGAAAGAGAGUAAAAACGGAUAGCUGAAAGAGUGAAAGAAAAAGCAUACAUUGUUGAUCGAAAGCGUUAUUGCUCAAAUCCCUUUGAAAUAAUUUAAAUAACCGACUCAGACAUUGUUACAGUGAGCUGGAAUCUUCCCUGAAAGCUUAUUCUUCCCAAAAUGACUGUAAAAAAUUGAAAUAAGUUACUAGUUCUAAGAAGAGCACUACCUUA
rnacentral:lncRNA from 1 species